rnacentral:tRNA from 1 species
GCGGGGAUUGCCGAGUGGUCAAAGGCGCUGGACUUAGGAUCCAGUCUUUAGUAGUUCGGGAGUUCAAAUCUCCCUCCCCGCACCA